UACGUAGGGAGCAAGCGUUGUCCGGAAUCAUUGGGCGUAAAGCGCGCGUAGGUGGCUUCGUAAGUCCGUUGUGAAAGUCAAAGGCUCAACCUUUGAAAGCCGAUGGAUACUGCGGAGCUAGAGUACGGAAGAGGCGAGUGGAAUUCCUGGUGUAGCGGUGAAAUGCGCAGAUAUCAGGAGGAACACCUAUUGCGAAGGCAGCUCGCUGGGACGUAACUGACGCUGAGACGCGAAAGCGUGGGGAGCAAACAGG
rnacentral:rRNA from 1 species